rnacentral:siRNA from 1 species
AUUGUUGAUGUAUGUUGCCUGAGU